rnacentral:misc_RNA from 1 species
GAUGAAGAACGUAGCGAAAUGCGAUAAGUAGUGUGGUUUGCAGAAUUCAGUGAAUCAUCGAAUCUUUGAACGCACAUUGCGCCUCCUGGUAUUCCGGGAGGCAUGCCUGUUCGAGCGUCAUUAAAAUCACUCAAGCUUAGGUUUACCUAUUGCUUGGUCUUGGAGAUGGAAGCCAAUUCAUUGGAAUCCUCUUCGAAAUCCAAUGGCGAAGACCCUUGCUCUCCCAAGUGUAGUAAUAACUUAUGUCACUGAAGGAAGCGAGAAAUCUUCCGCCGUAACCCCCAUAUUUUCUAUGAUUGACCUCGGAUCAGGUAGGGAUACCCGCUGAACUUAAGCAUAUCAAUAAGCGGAGGA